GAACACAUAAGAACCCAAGAACAGAGAGUGUGACAUCUCCCAGGGUGCAAUCAAGACUGUAGGACAGCUGUGCCCUCUUAUUUCUGCAGUCUGGUGUGUACUAUGCCCUGCUUUGCUGUAUGAGCUGACACACUGCCACCCACCCCAGCCUCCAGCAUGCAAGUCAUCCCCAGAUGCUGGAAGAUCCAUGCUGUGUCAUGGCGUUGGGCAGCCUCCAUAGCAUAUGUGAGCUGCUGACCAUCCUUCAGCAAUGAAUUCCUGCACACUAGCUUGGAAACAAGAUGCCAUUUAUACAACAUCAGGCUUUCCAAAAUCAUCUUCAUAUUUUCUGAACAGUUUUGCUCCAACUGGAAGAGCAUGUACUACAUCAACGAAAGGAAAGGCAGUGAGAAAAGCCAGAAUGGAAGUGGGGGCUGGGAGGGGGAGAAGAUGACAAAACCAAGCAUAUCCAGCUUGUGCACUCUCCUACCAUGAAGCAAUUUUUACUAAAUCUGGUGACACUGAAUUGAAGGAAACUGAGCCUUGGAAAAAGAAACAGAUCAUAUCAAAGUCCAUACCACAACUGUUUGCCUAAUACAGUAAGAUGCAAUUUAGAACCGUAAGAUGGAAUUUCUCCUCUGUAUUUAAGAGAAUCUCAUUAAAUAUCAAGAUUUCAUGAGACUGCUGCUUCAGGGAAGCCACCACUGGCCAUAAGACCAACAUUCUUCCCAAUAGCUGCAUAAUGCUGUAAUGGAAGGAAAAUAUGCAGUAUGGAACAUGCUGACUUUAAUGGAAAAUAGUUAUUUGAAGCAAUUUUCAUAAUAACUUAGAAAAACAGGCCCAGAAUGAUGAUGAAUGUGCCACUAAGGAGGCUGUAAUGUCCCUAACAGCCAUAAGCCAAUCUGCGGUAGUGUCUCUAGCAAAAGAGUAUACGGGUAGCAGCUGUGCAUACACUGGGGCUGCACUCAUACCUUCACUGGCUUUCUGCCUCUUUCCCCCCCCCCCAUCUCUUAAUUCAUAUUCCUUGUUCUCCUUUUCAUCGCUCUACACAUCACUGCAUCAACUCAGUCCUCACUUCUCCCUAUUCCCAUUCCUGGUGGCUACUCUUAGUUCACCCCCCUCGGUACUUAUUCUCUCGUUUUCACACUGGUGCCGUUGUGCCUCCUCUCCUUGGAACACCACCUCUGUGCCAAGCAACAUCAUUCUCUUCUCUCACCUACCCCCAAAAACUCACUUCUUUUGAUUAGCUUUCUACUACCGACCGCCACUUGCUACAGAUUACCACAAUUACACCUCCUGUUCUCACUCUGACCAUAUGAUCUUGGGAGGGUGAGGGGAACACAGGAACCUACCAAGAGACAUCCAGAAUUGAACAGCUCUCCUGAUCUAACCCACCCUCACUCUCUGGUACUAUGUUAUAUACAAUUCAGAUUGUCAAGGGGAAAUGUUCAAAGGCACAAAUAGGAGUUACGUGCCCAACUCCUAUUGACUUUCUGUGGGAGUGGGGGAUUAACUGUCCUUUGAAAAUCAACCCAUAAACUGCUUCAGACUGGGAACUUUCUUACUGUAUGCCUAUAAGGAGCACAUACACAUCUAUGGUGCUUUAUGAAGAAUAGAUAGUA